GGCUUAGCUCAGUUGGUAGAGCAUCGGUCUCCAAAACCGAGGGUCGUGAGUUCGAGUCUCUCAGCC
rnacentral:tRNA from 1 species